rnacentral:lncRNA from 1 species
GCUACCACCUACAGCUCCUACUAUUGCUACUUUCCUCUGCUACCUCUACCUACUACCACCUACAGCUCCUGCUACUGUUAGUAUCCCCUGCUACCUCCUAGAACUCUUGCUACUGUCCCCUGCUACCAUCUGAAGUUCCUGCUACUACUACCACUAUUGUCCCCUACUAUUGCUAUCUACUACCUCCUAUAGCUCCUGCUACUGCUACCUCCUACAGCUCCUGCUACUGCCACUUUCCCUGCUACCAACUACAGCUCCUGCCAUUGCUAUUGCUACUGUCCCUUGCUACCACCUACAGCUCCUACUAUUGCUACUUUCCUCUGCUAAGAGACCUACUACCACCUACCACUCCUGCUACUGUUAGUAUCCCCUGCUACCUCCUACAGCUCCUGCUACCUCCUACAGCUCCUGCUGUUGCUACUGUCCCUGCAACCAUCUGAAGUUCCUGCUACUAGUACUACUAUUGUCCCCUACUAUUGCUAUCUACUACCUCUUACAGCUCCUGCUCCUGCUACUGUCCCUUGGUACCUCCUACAACUUCUGCUAACAGCUCCUGCUACUGCUACCACCUACUAUUAUUGUCCCUCCU